rnacentral:rRNA from 1 species
AGUGAACGCUGGCGGUAGGCCUAACACAUGCAAGUCGAACGGCAGCACAGUAAGAGCUUGCUCUUACGGGUGGCGAGUGGCGGACGGGUGAGGAAUACAUCGGAAUCUACUUUUUCGUGGGGGAUAACGUAGGGAAACUUACGCUAAUACCGCAUACGACCUACGGGUGAAAGCAGGGGAUCUUCGGACCUUGCGCGAUUGAAUGAGCCGAUGUCGGAUUAGCUAGUUGGCGGGGUAGAGGCCCACCAAGGCGACGAUCCGUAGCUGGUCUGAGAGGAUGAUCAGCCACACUGGAACUGAGACACGGUCCAGACUCCUACGGGAGGCAGCAGUGGGGAAUAUUGGACAAUGGGCGCAAGCCUGAUCCAGCCAUACCGCGUGGGUGAAGAAGGCCUUCGGGUUGUAAAGCCCUUUUGCUGGGAAAGAAAAGCAGCAGGUUAAUACCCCGCUGUUCUGACGGUACCCAAAGGAUAAGCACCGGCUAACUUCGUG